GAGGUUGGCUUCGGCCAGCCUAGUGGCGGACGGGUGAGUAAUGCGUGGGAAUCUGCCUCGUAGUGGGGGAUAACGUAGGGAAACUUACGCUAAUACCGCAUACGCUCUACGGAGGAAAGGGGGGGAUCUUCGGACCUCUCGCUAUGAGAUGAGCCCACGUCUGAUUAGCUAGUUGGUGGGGUAAAGGCCUACCAAGGCGACGAUCAGUAGCCGGCCUGAGAGGGUGGACGGCCACACUGGGACUGAGACACGGCCCAGACUCCUACGGGAGGCAGCAGUGGGGAAUAUUGGACAAUGGGCGAAAGCCUGAUCCAGCAAUGCCGCGUGUGUGAAGAAGGCCUGCGGGUUGUAAAGCACUUUAAGUGGGGAAGAACGGGAUUGCGCUAAUACCGUGAUCCUUUGACGUUACCCACAGAAUAAGCACCGGCUAACUCCGUGCCAGCAGCCGCGGUAAUACGGAGGGUGCGAGCGUUAAUCGGAAUUACUGGGCGUA
rnacentral:rRNA from 1 species